GGAUUGUAAAGCUCUGUUGAGUGGGAAGAAAAAGUCUGGAGGGUAUAUCUUCAGGCCUUGACGGUACCAUUCGAGGAAGCCCCGGCUAACUACGUGCCAGCAGCCGCGGUAAUACGUAGGGGGCUAGCGUUGUUCGGAAUCACUGGGCGUAAAGGGAGUGUAGGCGGAAAGGUAAGUUAGAAGUUAAAUACACAGGCUUAACCUGUGGCCUGCUUUUAAUACUGUCUUUCUUGAGUAUGGGAGAGGGUGAUGGAAUUCCAGGUGUAGCGGUGGAAUGCGUAGAUAUCUGGAAGAACACCAGUUGCGAAGGCGGUCACCUGGCCCAAUACUGACGCUGAGGCUCGAAAGCUAGGGGAGCGAACAGGAUUAGAUACCCUGGUAGUCCUAGCCGUAAACGAUGGGUACUAGUUGCUGGGGGAGUCAAUCAUUUCAGUGACGAAGCUAACGCAUUAAGUACCCCGCCUGGGGAGUACGCUCGCAAGGGUGAAACUCAAAGGAAUUGACGGGGGCCCGCACAAGCGGUGGAGCAUGUGCUUUAAUUCGAUGCAACGCGAAGAACCUUACCUGGGUUUGACAUGUGAGUGUAAGCCACCAGAGAUGGAGGCCCUUCCGCAAGGAACACUCAACACAGGUGCUGCAUGGUUGUCGUCAGCUCGUGUCGUGAGAUGUUGGGUUAAGUCCCGCAACGAGCGCAACCCCUGUCCUUAGUUGCCAUCAGGUAAAGCUGGGAACUCUAAGGAGACUGCCUGUCAUAAACAGGAGGAAGGUGGGGAUGACGUCAAAUCAUCAUGGCCCUUACGCCCAGGGCUAGACACGUGCUACAAUGGUCGGUACAAUGGGAUGCGAACUCGCGAGGGUAAGCUAAUCCCACAAAACCGGUCUCAGUUCGGAUUGGAGUCUGCAACUCGACUCCAUGAAGUUGGAAUCGCUAGUAAUCGCGGAUCAGCAUGCCGCGGUGAUACGUUCCCGGGCCUUGUACACACCGCCCGUCAAGCCAUGAAAGACGGUAGCGCCCGAAGUCGUGCACCUAACCGCAAGGAAGGAAGCGCCGAAGGUAAG
rnacentral:rRNA from 1 species